UACAGAGGGGGCAAGCGUUGUUCGGAAUUACUGGGCGUAAAGGGCGCGUAGGCGGCCGCCUAAGUCAGACGUGAAAUCCCUCGGCUCAACCGGGGAACUGCGUCUGAUACUGGGUGGCUUGAAUCCGGGAGAGGGAUGCGGAAUUCCAGGUGUAGCGGUGAAAUGCGUAGAUAUCUGGAGGAACACCGGUGGCGAAGGCGGCAUCCUGGACCGACACUGACACUGAGGAGCGAAAGCGUGGGGAUCAAACAGG
rnacentral:rRNA from 1 species